UGUGUGUCAGAGAUCUGCAGUAAUACCCGUCACCCUGCCGACAUGUGAGGGGUCUAAGAAUACAGCAGGUUGGGUGAGUAUCUUGUUCUUCCCUCUCCGAAACUCUGUUUUCUCCUCCUUAAGGGGCAUCCUCUGUGGAAGUAAACUAAACCAGAUAAAGGGAGGACAUUUUCUGGACAAGGGUCUGCGCAUGGCUGUUACUCCUUUGCUAGAACAUUCAAAUUAGCCCUCAAGGCUCUUUGACAGAGGAAUAUACAGGCAGGCAAAAAUAUUAAUAGAUGGCUGUAGAAAUCCUCUAAUAAAGCUGUCUUU
ensembl:misc_RNA 7SK 7SK RNA